rnacentral:rRNA from 1 species
AUUGAACGCUGGCGGCAGGCCUAACACAUGCAAGUCGAGCGGAUGAGUGGAGCUUGCUCCAUGAUUCAGCGGCGGACGGGUGAGUAAUGCCUAGGAAUCUGCCUGGUAGUGGGGGACAACGUUUCGAAAGGAACGCUAAUACCGCAUACGUCCUACGGGAGAAAGCAGGGGACCUUCGGGCCUUGCGCUAUCAGAUGAGCCUAGGUCGGAUUAGCUAGUAGGUGAGGUAAUGGCUCACCUAGGCGACGAUCCGUAACUGGUCUGAGAGGAUGAUCAGUCACACUGGAACUGAGACACGGUCCAGACUCCUACGGGAGGCAGCAGUGGGAAUAUUGGACAAUGGGCGAAAGCCUGAUCCAGCCAUGCCGCGUGUGUGAAGAAGGUCUUCGGG